CCGGCUUCAAAAUUCAGAUGACUACACACCCCAGUUCCCUCUCAGCCAGGCCACCUUCCUUAGAGAACAACCAAACCCACACCAAAAGGUGAACACAAGCUGAAUCACCAGGACUCAUCAGCAGCGAGGCUUCCUUGGUCCUUUCCCUAGAAAUUCAGGCUCCUGUACUGAAAAAAAUGAAGCAGCUGGAAGCAGUCUUGAGCCCAUAAAUCUGUACCCACUGCAGGGGUCCCGAACUUUUUGUGGGGGGCACACCCCUUUGAAAAUCUAAUAAAAUGAUCAACCCUCUCUUGGGGAAAAAAAGCAGACAUCCAAAUUUUGGCUGACAAUU